CUUUCUAGUAUAACCGUUGAAUUGACCGUUUGAUUUGAAUUACUAUCUGAUUCAUUUGUAGCCAAAAAUAAAACGGGCGGAUACGGAUAUUCAUUGUUUAUGGCUAAGACAAUAAUCAAAGAUGCAAUAAUGAUGACUCUAUUGAUAAAAUAAAUGAACAUAACAUCAAGUAUAACAGUUUCUCUUUGAAAUGUUAUACACUUGUGUUUCUACACAAAUAUUUUGCUAAAGUGUUAAAGCCACAAAACAACAAAUGAUUGUUUUUGUUUUAAGUUGGAAGUUGUUUACUUUAAGUGGCAAGAAGUCUAUUGCCAACGAAUGUAGGCCAAUAAACUGGAACUCACAAAAAUGUUAAUCCUAAACACCAUUGAAAUUGCUGCAUUUUAUGACGACGCGAACGAGGAGAAACUCCUCCAGGAAAAACAUAUUCCGGACCGGGAGGUGAUUGCGGUACAAAA